rnacentral:rRNA from 1 species
AUUGAACGCUGGCGGCAGGCCUAACACAUGCAAGUCGAGCGGAGCGGCGGACGGGUGAGUAAUGCCUAGGAAUCUGCCUGGUAGUGGGGGAUAACGUCCGGAAACGGGCGCUAAUACCGCAUACUAUCAGAUGAGCCUAGGUCGGAUUAGCUAGUUGGUGGGGUAAAGGCCUACCAAGGCGACGAUCCGGUACUGGUCUGAGAGGAUGACCAGUCAACAUGGAACUGAGACACGGGCCAAGCCCCUUGCGGAGGCCACAGUGGGGAAUAUUGGACAAUUGGCGCAAGCCUUGUCCAGCCAUGCCGGGUGUGUGAAGAAGGUCUUCGGAUUUUAAAACACGUUAAGUUGGGAGGCGUUACCAACAGAAUAAGCACCGGCUAACUUCGUGCCAGCAGCCGCGGUAAUUC